rnacentral:rRNA from 1 species
UAUAAGUAAGUGGUGGAAGAAAAAAUAAACAUGAUUCUUUUAGUAAUGGCGAAUGAACAAAGACAUGGUCAUUUUGAAAAUUGUGGUCUUAGAUCAUGAAUUGUAUUUUCAAAAUGCAUUGCUAACACAACUGCACAUGUUUGUUUAUUGGAAAGAACAUCACAAAGGGUGACAAUCCCAUGUGUCAUGUGUAUGUUUUGUGUACAGCGUGCAUUAUAUGAAUCACAUUCAUUGACAAUUGAAUGCAAAUAGAAUGGUAAAUUUCAUUUAAUCAUAAAUAUGUUGUUGACAACUUAUAGCAAACAAAUACCAUGAGGGAAAUGUGAAAAGGAUUUUGAAAAGAAAAUUAAAAGAGCUUGCAAUUGCUGAACUGAUAAGCAAACAAAACAUACGUGUGUAUGCAAGAUUGUUGUAAUGCUUAGCAUCCUAUGCAAGGCUAUUGCAAUGAUUUUUUGUAUAGUGAUGCUACCUUUUUUUAGAAUUUGGAAUGUCUUUUUUUGAGUGUGAAUGGAAUUUUGUUUGUUAGCAAAGGAAUGCACUUUUAGAUUCAUUGUUUGAUUUGAUUUAAAAAUGUUUGUGACACGUGUCUUUGUUUUAGUUUCAUGCUUCAACCAAGGACAUUGUGUUUGAUCCAUAUCAGCAAUACAUGUUUUGUUUGACCCGUCUU